rnacentral:rRNA from 1 species
CCUACGGGAGGCAGCAGUGAGGAAUAUUGGUCAAUGGACGAGAGUCUGAACCAGCCAAGUAGCGUGAAGGAUGAAGGCCCUAUGGGUUGUAAACUUCUGUUAUAGGGGAAUAAAAUGUUACACGUGGGGGAUUUUGUAUGUACCAUAUGAAUAAGGAUCGGCUAACUCCGUGCCAGCAGCCGCGGUAAUACGGAGGAUCCGAGCGUUAUCCGGAUUUCUUGGGGUUAAAGGGAGCGUAGGUGGCUUGUUAAGUCAGUUGUGAAAGUUUGCGGCUCAACCGUAAAAUUGCAGUUGAAACUGGCAGUCUUGCGUACAGUAGCGGUGGGCGGCAUUCGUGGUGUAGCGG